rnacentral:rRNA from 1 species
ACUGCGAAGCAUUUGCCAAGAAUGUUUUCAUUAAUCAAGAACGAAAGUUAGGGGUUCGAAGGCGAUCAGAUACCGCCCUAGUCUUAACCGUAAACGAUGCUAACCAGCGGUUGGUCAGUGUUAUUCUAUGUCCUGAUCAGAAGCCCCUUCGGAAACGUUUGAGUUUUUGAGUUACGGGGGAAGUAUGGUUGCAAAUCUGAAACUUAAAGGAAUUGACGGAAGGGCACCACCAGGAGUGGAGCCUGCGGCUUAAUUUGACUCAACGCGGGGAAACUCACCCGGCCCGGACACUGUUAUGAUUGACAGAUUGAGAGCUCUUUCUUGAUUCAGUGGAUGGUGGUGCAUGGCCGUUCUUAGUUGGUGGAGCGAUUUGUCUGCUUAAUUGCGUACAACGAACGAGACUCUAGCCUAUUAAAUAGAUAGCUGAUCCUUUUGUCAGCUAUUCUUCUUAGAGGGACAAGUGGCGUUUAGCCACACGAAAAUGAGCAAUAACAGGUCUGUGAUGCCCUUAGAUGUUCGGGGCUGCACGCGCGCUACACUGAAAGAUGCAACGAGCGUUUAUCCUGGGGCGCAAGCCUUGGGUAACCAGUUGAAAAUCUUUCGUGAUUGGAAUAGGGGCUUGUAAUUAUUCCCCUUGAACGAGGAAUUCCUAGUAAGUGCAAGUCAUCAUCUUGCGUUGAUUACGUCCCUGCCCUUUGUACACACCGCCCGUCGCUACAACUAAUUGGGUGAAUUAGUGAGGCGUUUGGACUGGCACCAGAGCGGUUCACGACUGCUUUGGUACUGGGAAGACCACCC